rnacentral:lncRNA from 1 species
AAAGAAUACACAUCAACCUAUCACAUCAGUUAUAUUUUUUAGCUCUGUGCAGAAUUUCUUAUUUUUUAGCCCUUGCCCUUUAAAAAAAGGUUAAGUUGAAUUAUAGGGGAGUUUUUUCAAGGAUGGGGCCAAUUGAGUACAAGGUUUCUUCAUUUGCAGAGUGGUAAAGUAGUCUUAACCAACUGCCUCUGAAUAGGGUGCGUGUUGGGCUAGUGCAGCUUAUUAAUAGUACUGCACACAUGCAUUUAUUUCAUCACUGUAGCACUCUGUUAAAAUGAGACGUCUUAAACACAUCACCCACAUGUGGUAAAAUAUGAACUGCUCAAAUUGAAUGAAUUGCUCAAAUUCUGUUUAAAAUUUGAAGUAUGUUUUAAUGUCCAUAACUGAACAAACUAUGUUUGUAUAAAAAACAUAGUAUUGAAUGAAAAGUGCUUUGAGUUAAAAGGAAAACUUUACUUUUAAAAGUUUUAUCAUUUUUAUGAGUUUUUCCUAGAUAUAUUUUUGCUAUGUUAAAGGUUGAAAAUUGUCUCUAAGCAAUGGUGAGGAAUAUUUUCUAAAACUAAAUUUAUCUGUGAAUUGAUACUGCACAUA